rnacentral:rRNA from 1 species
GGGGGCCCGCAAGCGGUGGAGCAUGUGGUUUAAUUCGACGCAACGCGAAGAACCUUACCCAGACUUGACAUUGAUAGAAUCUGCCGGAAAAGGUGGAGUGCCCUUCGGGGCCUUGAAAACAGGUGCUGCAUGGCUGUCGUCAGCUCGUGUCGUGAGAUGUUGGGUUAAGUCCCGCAACGAGCGCAACCCUUGCCGUUAGUUGCCAUCAGGUAAUGCUGGGCACUUUAGCGGGACUGCCGGUGAUAAACCGGAGGAAGGUGGGGAUGACGUCAAGUCCUCAUGGCCUUUAUGUCUGGGGCUACACACGUGCUACAAUGGCAGGUACAAACCGCUGCAAACCAGCAAUGGUGAGCCAAUCGGAGAAAACCUGUCUCAGUUCGGAUCGGAGUCUGCAACUCGACUUCGUGAAGUUGGAAUCGCUAGUAAUCGUGGAUCAGCAUGCCACGGUGAAUACGUUCCCGGGCCUCGUACACACC